UGGGGAAUUUUGCGCAAUGGGCGAAAGCCUGACGCAGCGACGCCGCGUGAGGGAUGACGGCCUUCGGGUUGUGAAACCUCUUUCAAGCCCUGACGAAGCGAAAGUGACGGUAGGGGCAGAAGAAGCACCGGCCAACUACGUGCCAGCAGCCGCGGUAAUACGUAGGGUGCAAGCGUUGUCCGGAAUUAUUGGGUCGUAAAGAGCUCGUAGGCGGUCUGUCGCGUCGGCUGUGAAAACUCGGGGCUCAACUCCGAGCUUGCAGUCGAUACGGGCAGGCUAGAGUGCGGCAGGGGAGACUGGAAUUCCUGGUGUAGCGGUGAAAUGCGCAGAUAUCAGGAGGAACACCGGUGGCGAAGGCGGGUCUUC
rnacentral:rRNA from 1 species